GAUGAACGCUGGCGGCGUGCCUAAUACAUGCAAGUCGAGCGAACAGACGAGGAGCUUGCUCCUCUGACGUUAGCGGCGGACGGGUGAGUAACACGUGGAUAACCUACCUAUAAGACUGGGAUAACUUCGGGAAACCGGAGCUAAUACCGGAUAAUAUAUUGAACCGCAUGGUUCAAUAGUGAAAGACGGUUUUGCUGUCACUUAUAGAUGGAUCCGCGCCGCAUUAGCUAGUUGGUAAGGUAACGGCUUACCAAGGCAACGAUGCGUAGCCGACCUGAGAGGGUGAUCGGCCACACUGGAACUGAGACACGGUCCAGACUCCUACGGGAGGCAGCAGUAGGGAAUCUUCCGCAAUGGGCGAAAGCCUGACGGAGCAACGCCGCGUGAGUGAUGAAGGUCUUCGGAUCGUAAAACUCUGUUAUUAGGGAAGAACAAAUGUGUAUGUAACUAUGCACGUCUUGACGGUACCUAAUCAGAAAGCCGCGGCUAACUACGUG
rnacentral:rRNA from 1 species